rnacentral:rRNA from 1 species
AUUGAACGCUGGCGGCAGGCCUAACACAUGCAAGUCGAACGAGUGGCGGACGGGUGAGUAAUGUCUGGGAAACUGCCUGAUGGAGGGGGAUAACUACUGGAAACGGUAGCUACUACCGCAUACCAUCAGAUGUGCCCAGAUGGUAUUAGCUAGUUGGUGAGGUAAAGGCGCACCUAGGCGACGAUCCCUAGCUGGUCUGAGAGGUUGACCAGCCAGACUGGAACUGAGACACGGUCCAGACUCCUACGGGAGGCAGCAGUGGGGAAUAUUGCACAAUGGGCGCAAGCCUGAUGCAGCCAUGACGCGUGUGUGAAGAAGGCCUUCGGGUUGUAAAGCACUUUCAGCGGGGAGGCGUUACCCGCAGAAGAAGCACCGGCUAACUCCGUGCCAGCAGCCGCGGUAAUAC